AUCAGGGGAGGCGAAUGCUCCCUGGCUCAAAGAGCCCCCUUAGGAAGACCAGUCCUCCAGGCAGUAAGAUCAGCACAGCUUUGUGCUGCAGCCCUGACAGUGUGCUUGGCUCUCAUAUCAGAAACAGCCAGCUUGACUUGAUUUCCCUAACUUGCUCACAGGUCUCUCUGUUGCUGCUUUGCAAGGCUGCUGGAGCCUGCUGCAAGUUUUCAGCAGCCUGGAAGCUGCUCGGAGCUUUUUAUUUCAUUCCAUAUUUCUCUCAAGCACUUGUCUUCAAAGGGAACCUCAAUUACUUCAAAUCAGACUGACAGCUUGCAUGAAACACAUCUUGUCUACCUUUCUUGCAACUGCCUGUGGCUCAGCAGUGAGCCAGGGAGGACAUUGAUCUGUGACUAACAUGGUGAGCAUGUUGACAUUCUGUGUGACAAGUUAUGCCAACACCAGAGAGAGCUCAUAGGACUAAGCCCCUUAUUAACACAGAACUGACUGCACAACGCAGCACAAGGAAGGGAUGACCCUGGCAGUGCCUCAUCAGGGAAGAAAAGCUCAUAAGAAUGCCCAUGGGAGAUACCUUAUUGCCUCUGUGCACAUCUGGUGAUUUAUUUCCUGUACAGCUCCUUCAGAGGUGUUGCUGGGCUCCCCCUGCACUCGGGUGCUGCUCAGCCAGAAAAGCAUGGCCUCACAGAGCAAGGAUAUGAGGUGCCUGGGCUAAAGCCUCACAGGUGCCAGCAGACAGAUGUGACCAAAGAUUAGACAAGACAGAAGAGGCCCAGGCUCAGGGACUCUCUACAGUCAUACCAUAAGAGCAGAAGCAAUCCAUGAAGAAGGAAGGUCACUUUACUUAUGAUAUAAAUGAGGCGAACUCAACCCACCAUUUGGUGGGUGAAAUUUUUAAAUGAUGCAUUUUGGGAAUCCAACACAAAUAUGACAUCAGUGGUUGAAGACUGACUUAGUUACCAUGUUUUCUGCUGGGCACCACAUCUCAGGAAACACUGCAGAGGACCCAAAGCAAUGAUCUGAGUCAAUGCAAUGACAAUGAUCACAGACUUGGCAAUUGUGACUGAAAGUUGCAAGUGGAAGAAUGAGUACAGGUAAUCUGGAGAAGAAAGACUAUUGUACAUAUGAUAGUAGUUUUAAAUAUGUGGAAAAAAUUA